ACUAAGUUUCAACAACGGAUCUCUUGGUUCUCCCAUCAAUGAAAAACGCACCGAAAGGCAAUAAGAAAUGGGAAUUGCAAAAUUCAGGGAAUCAUCAAAUCUUUGAACGCACCUUGCGCUCCUUGGAAUUCCUUGAAGCAUGCCUGUUUGAGUAUCAUGAAUU
rnacentral:rRNA from 1 species